rnacentral:rRNA from 1 species
UCGCCUGUUUAUCAAAAACAUGUCCUCUUGUGAGUGAGAAUUUGAGGUUUGGCCUGCCCACUGAAGUUUUGAAGGGCCGCGGUAUUUUGACCGUGCAAAGGUAGCAUAAUCAUUAGUCUUUUAAUUGAAGGCUGGAAUGAAGGGUUGGACGAGACACUGACUGUCUCAUUGUGAUUGAUUUAGAAUUUAACUUUUAAGUGAAAAGGCUUAAAUAGAUUUAAAGGACGAGAAGACCCUAUAGAUCUUGACAUUAAUUUUUUUUAUAUUUAUUUGGAUGUGGGGUUUUAUAAAUUUAAUUUAGUGUUUUAUUGGGGUGAUAGGAAGAUAAAAUAAACUCUUUUUAGUUUUUGCAUAUGCCAUUGAUUUUUGAAUUUUUGAUCCGUUAUUAACGAUUAUAAGACUAAGUUACCUUAGGGAUAACAGCGUAAUCUUUUUUGAGAGUUCUUAUCGACAAAAAGGGUUGCGACCUCGAUGUUGGAUUAAGGUAAAAUUCGGGUGCAGGAGCUCGAGUUUUUAGGUCUGUUCGACCUUUAAAUCCUUACAUGAUCUGAGUUCAAACCGGAGA